rnacentral:rRNA from 1 species
CACGUAGGGCGCGAGCGUUGUCCGGAAUUAUUGGGCGUAAAGAGCUCGUAGGCGGACUGUCACGUCUGCUGUGAAAAGCUGGGGCUUAACCCUGGCCUUGCAGUGGAUACGGGCAGACUAGAGGUAGGUAGGGGAGAAUGGAAUUCCCGGUGUAGCGGUGAAAUGCGCAGAUAUCGGGAGGAACACCGGUGGCGAAGGCGGUUCUCUGGGCCUUACCUGACGCUGAGGAGCGAAAGCGUGGGGAGCGAACAGG